AGCCGAAGGGAAACCGAGUCUUAACUGGGCGUUAAGUUGCAGGGUAUAGACCCGAAACCCGGUGAUCUAGCCAUGGGCAGGUUGAAGGUUGGGUAACACUAACUGGAGGACCGAACCGACUAAUGUUGAAAAAUUAGCGGAUGACUUGUGGCUGGGGGUGAAAGGCCAAUCAAACCGGGAGAUAGCUGGUUCUCCCCGAAAGCUAUUUAGGUAGCGCCUCGUGAACUCAUCUUCGGGGGUAGAGCACUGUUUCGGCUAGGGGGUCAUCCCGACUUACCAACCCGAUGCAAACUGCGAAUACCGAAGAAUGUUAUCACGGGAGACACACGGCGGGUGCUAACGUCCGUCGUGAAGAGGGAAACAACCCAGACCGCCAGCUAAGGUCCCAAAGUCACAGUUAAGUGGGAAACGAUGUGGGAAGGCUCAGACAGCCAGGAUGUUGGCUUAGAAGCAGCCAUCAUUUAAAGAAAGCGUAAUAGCUCACUGGUCGAGUCGGCCUGCGCGGAAGAUGUAACGGGGCUAAACUGUGCACCGAAGCUGCGGCAGCGACGCUUAUGCGUUGUUGGGUAGGGGAGCGUUCUGUAAGCCUGCGAAGGUGUCCUGUGAGGGAUGCUGGAGGUAUCAGAAGUGCGAAUGCUGACAUAAGUAACGAUAAUGCGGGUGAAAAGCCCGCUCGCCGGAAGACCAAGGGUUCCUGUCCAACGUUAAUCGGGGCAGGGUGAGUCGACCCCUAAGGCGAGGCCGAAAGGCGUAGUCGAUGGGAAACGGGUUAAUAUUCCCGUACUUGGUGUUACUGCGAAGGGGGGACGGAGAAGGCUAUGUUGGCCGGGCGACGGUUGUCCCGGUUUAAGCGUGUAGGCUGGUUUUCCAGGCAAAUCCGGAAAAUCAAGGCUGAGGCGUGAUGACGAGGCACUACGGUGCUGAAGCAACAAAUGCCCUGCUUCCAGGAAAAGCCUCUAAGCAUCAGGUAACAUCAAAUCGUACCCCAAACCGACACAGGUGGUCAGGUAGAGAAUACCAAGGCGCUUGAGAGAACUCGGGUGAAGGAACUAGGCAAAAUGGUGCCGUAACUUCGGGAGAAGGCACGCUGACACGUAGGUGAAGUGAUUUACUCA
rnacentral:rRNA from 1 species